CCAUGUUUUUAGGGUUCCGUAGCCAAAUGGCAAAAAACGGAACCCUUAUAGAUUCGUCAUGUCUGUCUGUCUGUCUGUCUGUCUGUCCCCACUUUUUUCUGAAACUAUAAGAGCUAUACUGUUGAAACUUGGUAAGUAGAUGUAUUCUGUGAACCGCAUUAAGAUU